rnacentral:rRNA from 1 species
CGAAUCGCAUGGCCUUGUGCCGGCGAUGAUUCAUUCAAAUUUCUGCCCUAUCAACUUUCGAUGGUAGGAUAGUGGCCUACCAUGGUUUCAACGGGUAACGGGGAAUUAGGGUUCUAUUCCGGAGAGGGAGCCUGAGAAACGGCUGCCACAUCCAAGGAAGGCAGCAGGCGCGCAGAUUACCCAAUCCCGACACGGGGAGGUAGUGACAAUAAAUACUGAUACAGGGCUCUUUUGGGUCUUGUAAUUGGAAUGAGUACAAUUUAAAUCCCUUAACGAGGAACAAUUGGAGGGCAAGUCUGGUGCCAGCAGCCGCGGUAAUUCCAGCUCCAAUAGCGCAUAUUAAAGUUGUUGCAGUUAAAAAGCUCGUAGUUGAACCCUGAGCCUGGCUGGCCGGUCCGCCUCACCGCGUGCACUGGUCCGGCCGGGUUUUUCCUUCUGGGGAGCCGCAUGCCCUUCACUGGGUGUGUCGGGGAACCAGGACUUUUACUUUUGAAAAAAUUANAGUGUUCAAAGCANGCCUAUGCUCGAAUCAUUAGCAUGGAAUAAUAGAAUAGGACGUGUGGGUUCUAUUUUUGUUGGUUUCUANGACCCCCCGUAAUGAUUAAUAAGGGAUAGUCNGGGGGCAUUCANUUUUCAAUUUUCAGAAGGUGAAAAUUNUUGGAUUUNUUGAANACUAACUUCCUNCNAAANCCAUUUGCCU